rnacentral:rRNA from 1 species
CAGUAGCCGCGGGAAUACGAAGGGUGCAAGCGUUACUCGGAUUUACUGGGCGUAAAGCGUGCGUAGGCGGCUUCUUAAGUCGGAUGUGAAAUCCCUGAGCUUAACUUAGGAAUUGCAUUCGAUACUGGGAAGCUAGAGUAUGGGAGAGGAUGGUAGAAUUCCAGGUGUAGCGGUGAAAUGCGUAGAGAUCUGGAGGAAUACCGAUGGCGAAGGCAGCCAUCUGGCCUAAUACUGACGCUGAGGUACGAAAGCAUGGGGAGCAAACAGGAUUAGAUACCCCCGUAGUCCCUGUCUCUUAUAC